rnacentral:lncRNA from 1 species
CCGCAGAAGUAAAGUCGUCAUUGGGUCCUCACCUAACAGUUAUUGGCGCCCAACCCCACCUUUACCCCUACAACAUCUCAUGCCUAAUAGAGAGGUCCAAUCCCCCCGUGCAACUUGCCCAUUGUAUCCAGCCGAGACAAAUCAACGCCGGAAAGACCUUAGCAGCUCUACUACGGUGGAAGACCGCUAGACUUAAUAUUUUCGAGGAGAUUUAAUUUAGGUCUCUUUCAUUUAAUUAUCUACAUCUCAUGCAAAUAAUUAUCUACCCGCUAUGCAUAAACAUAAAUAUAAACAACUAGACAUAAUAACAAAAAUUAAACCGGUGAUGAUCAUGGAUCCAGGAUGGGGUCAUAGUACAAGCACAUGCACGUCAAUUGGUUAGAUCGUCUUCAACUCUUGACUCGAUCUUGAGCACCCUUGGUCCAAUUGUGAUCAACUCCUUGAUCCAUCUUCAAUCAACCCUUGAUCUCAAUCCGCGCAAGGCGUGCUUGUAGAGGCAUGCAUCGAUCAACCAUUGACGUGCAAACACAUCACAGAUUACAUUCCAGAUAAAUUUUAAAAAUAAAAGAAUAAUUACAACCCUUUUUCAUGAGACACGCAGAUCUCUAAUACAUCAAUAUAAGAUGCAUGCAGGCA